AACGAACGCUGGCGGCAUGCCUAACACAUGCAAGUCGAACGAGACCUUCGGGUCUAGUGGCGCACGGGUGCGUAACGCGUGGGAACCUGCCCUUAGGUUCGGAAUAACUCCCCGAAAGGGGUGCUAAUACCGGAUAAUGUCUUCGGACCAAAGAUUUAUCGCCUUUGGAUGGGCCCGCGUUGGAUUAGCUAGUUGGUAGGGUAAAAGCCUACCAAGGCGACGAUCCAUAGCUGGUCUGAGAGGAUGAUCAGCCACACUGGGACUGAGACACGGCCCAGACUCCUACGGGAGGCAGCAGUGGGGAAUAUUGGACAAUGGGCGAAAGCCCGAUCCAGCAAUGCCGCGGGAGUGAUGAAGGCCUUAGGGUUGUAAAGCUCUUUUACCCGGGAUGAUAAUGACAGUACCGGGAGAAUAAGCUCCGGCGAACUCCGU
rnacentral:rRNA from 1 species